GUCGAGGGGUAUGCUUCUUCGGGAGCAGAGACCGGCGCACGGGUGCGUAACGCGUAUGCAAUCUACCUUUCACAGAGGGAUAGCCCAGAGAAAUUUGGAUUAAUACCUCAUAGUAUAGCAGUUUCGCAUGAAACCACUAUUAAAGUCACAACGGUGAAAGAUGAGCAUGCGUCCCAUUAGCUAGUUGGUAAGGUAACGGCUUACCAAGGCAACGAUGGGUAGGGGUCCUGAGAGGGAGAUCCCCCACACUGGUACUGAGACACGGACCAGACUCCUACGGGAGGCAGCAGUGAGGAAUAUUGGACAAUGGGCGCAAGCCUGAUCCAGCCAUGCCGCGUGCAGGAUGACGGUCCUAUGGAUUGUAAACUGCUUUUAUACGAGAAGAAACACUCCGACGUGUCGGAGCUUGACGGUAUCGUAAGAAUAAGGAUCGGCUAACUCCGUGCCAGCAGCCGCGGUAAUACGGAGGAUCCAAGCGUUAUCCGGAAUCAUUGGGUUUAAAGGGUCCGUAGGCGGUCAGGUAAGUCAGUGGUGAAAGCCCAUCGCUCAACGGUGGAACGGCCAUUGAUACUGUCUGACUUGAAUUAUUAGGAAGUAACUAGAAUAUGUAGUGUAGCGGUGAAAUGCUUAGAGAUUACAUGGAAUACCAAUUGCGAAGGCAGGUUACUACUAAUGGAUUGACGCUGAUGGACGAAAGCGUGGGUAGCGAACAGGAUUAGAUACCCUGGUAGUCCACGCCGUAAACGAUGGAUACUAGCUGUUGGGAGCAAUCUCAGUGGCUAAGCGAAAGUGAUAAGUAUCCCACCUGGGGAGUACGUUCGCAAGAA
rnacentral:rRNA from 1 species